AGACCGAUAGCGAACAAGUAGAGUGAUCGAAAGAUGAAAAGCACUUUGGAAAGAGAGUUAAAAAGCACGUGAAAUUGUUGAAAGGGAAGCGCUUGCAGCCAGACUUGCCUGUAGUUGCUCAUCCGGGUUUUUACCCGGUGCACUCUUCUAUAGGCAGGCCAGCAUCAGUUUGGGCGGUUGGAUAAAGGUCUCUGUCAUGUACCUCCUUUCGGGGAGAACUUAUAGGGGAGACGACAUGCAACCAGCCUGGACUGAGGUCCGCGCAUCUGCUAGGAUGCUGGCGUAAUGGCUGUAAGCGGCCCGUCUUGAAACACGGACCAAG
rnacentral:rRNA from 1 species